UCUUUGCUAGUAUAUCGGUUAGUACACGCGCCUGUCAUGCAUAUCGUGUGUAUACAUGUACUGAUCCGCGCGAAAGCUGGGUUCGACUCCCAGGCAAAGAG